rnacentral:lncRNA from 1 species
AACGAGAUCUACUGUUGGACAGGUCUAUCUUCUUCCUGGAAAAGACUGGAAUAAAGGGAUAUAGGAUUGCAUCAUAAGACACAAGUCAUCCAGUAAAAGGCUAUUCUGCCAAUCCAGCAUCCUGCAAUGAAAAGAUCCUCUUGUUGGUCUUGGACCAGCUUUCAUGUGAGCAAGACUAUAUUCCACCUCCCUUUACCAUAGAUGUGCAUAUCCCUUUUUCUUUUUGGCC